rnacentral:rRNA from 1 species
UUGAUCCUGGCUCAGAAUCAACGCUGGCGGCGUGCCUAACACAUGCAAGUCGAACGAGAAAGUGGAGCAAUCCAUGAGUAAAGUGGCGACCGGGUGAGUUACACGUGACCAAUCUACCCUUGAGUGGGGGAUAACCUCGGGAAACCGGGUCUAAUACCGCAUAAUAUCCUUGGAACGGAAGUACUGGGGAUCAAAGGAGUAAUUCGCUUAAGGAGGAGGUCGCGGCUGAUUAGCUAGUUGGCGGGGUAAUGGCCCACCAAGGCAAAGAUCGGUAGCCGGCCUGAGAGGGCGCACGGCCAUACUGGAACUGAAACACGGUCCAGACUCCUACGGGAGGCAGCAGUGGGGAUUUUUGCGCAAUGGGGGAAACCCUGACGCAGCAACGCCGCGUGGAGGAUGUAGUCCCUUGGGACGUAAACUCCUUUCGACCCGGACGAUAAUGACGGUACUGGUGGAAGAAGCCCCGGCUAACUUCGUGCCAGCAGCCGCGGUAAUAAGGU